rnacentral:lncRNA from 1 species
GGAAUGUAAACAUAACCCCAUUUUUAUACUUAAAGAUUUAAACUAAAUUUAAUUCUUUAAAUUAAGCAAUCAAAAGAUUCCAUUUCUGUUACUCAGAUGGUGUCCCAAGAUGGACUCAAGGGAAUUUCUUUUAAUCCUUUUUGUUGUUUAAGCCAAGGUGUCUUUCUCCCUUUCAUUCUGGAAGCAAGUAAUCAAUUUACAGUGCUAGUAAUGUUGCCUAAUUAGAACUGUGUGAUCCGACCAUUCUGCUAGGAAAGCAAAAAACAAACAAACAAACAAACAUCGUGUUAUCAAGAAUGAACACUUACCUGUAUUUCUUUAG